UACGUAGGCAGCGAGCGUUGUUCGGAGUUACUGGGCGUAAAGAGUGCGUAGGCGGUUUUCUAAGUUUGGUGUGAAAUCUCCCGGCUCAACUGGGAGGGUGCGCCGAAGACUGGAAGGCUUGAGUAUGGGAGAGGUAAGCGGAAUUCCUGGUGUAGCGGUGGAAUGCGCAGAUAUCAGGAGGAACACCGAUGGCGAAGGCAGCUCGCUGGGACGGUACUGACGCUGAGGCGCGAAAGUGUGGGGAGCGAACAGG
rnacentral:rRNA from 1 species